UACGUAGGGUGCAAGCGUUGUCCGGAAUUAUUGGGCGUAAAGGGCGCGUAGGCGGCGUGUCAAGUCAGGCGUGAAAGCCCCGGGCUCAACCUGGGAACCGCGCUUGAGACUGGCAUGCUCGAGUUCGGGAGAGGAUGGUGGAAUUCCCGGUGUAGCGGUGAAAUGCGUAGAUAUCGGAAGGAACACCAGUGGCGAAAGCGGCUUCCUGGUCCAGCACCGGACGUCAGGCACGAAAGCGUGGGGAGCAAACAGGG
rnacentral:rRNA from 1 species